GACGAACGCUGGCGGCGUGCUUAACACAUGCAAGUCGAACGGAAAGGCCCUGCUUUUGUGGGGUGCUCGAGUGGCGAACGGGUGAGUAACACGUGAGUAACCUGCCCUUGACUUUGUGAUAACUUCAGGAAACUGGGGCUAAUACCGGAUAGGAGCUCCUGCUGCAUGGUGGGGGUUGGAAAGUUUCGGCGGUUGGGGAUGGACUCGCGGCUUAUCAGCUUUUUGGUGGGGUAGUGGCUUACCAAGGCUUUGACGGGUAGCCGGCCUGAGAGGGUGACCGGCCACAUAGGGACUGGGAUAGGGCCAGGACUCAUACGGGAGGAAGCGGUGGGAAUUAUUGCGCAAUGGGCGGAGUCCGGAAGCAGCAACGCCGCGUCGGGAAUGACGGCUUUAGGGUUAUAACCCGUUUUAGCCUGGAAAGAACAGUCAGUGACGGUAUUGGAUAAGAAAGCACCGGCUAACUACGUG
rnacentral:rRNA from 1 species